rnacentral:tRNA from 1 species
GCAGUCGUGGCCGAGUGGUUAAGGCGAUGGACUAAAAAUCCAUUGGGGUCUCCCCGCACAGGUUUGAAUCCUGUCGACUGCG